AGAGUUUGAUCCUGGCUCAGAGCGAACGUUAGCGGCAGGCCUAACACAUGCAAGUCGCACGAGAAUCCGGCUUCGGCCGGUAGUAAAGUGGCGGACGGGUGCGUAACACGUGGAUAAUCUGCCCUCUGGCGGGGGACAACAGUCCGAAAGGAUUGCUAAUACCGCAUAAGUCAGCGAGGUCUUCGGACCUCGUUGGGAAAAGGUGGCCUCUUCAUGAAAGCUACCACCGGAGGAUGAGUCCGCGGCCCAUCAGCUAGUUGGCGGGGUAAUGGCCCACCAAGGCUUAGACGGGUAGCUGGUCUGAGAGGAUGAUCAGCCACACUGGAACUGAGACACGGUCCAGACUCCUACGGGAGGCAGCAGUGGGGAAUAUUGGGCAAUGGGCGCAAGCCUGACCCAGCCAUGCCGCGUGAGUGAUGAAGGCCUUCGGGUCGUAAAGCUCUGUGGGGAGGGAAGAAACCGCCUAUGGCUAACAUCCAUGGGCCUUGACGGUACCUCCUUAGCAAGCACCGGCUAACUCCGUGCCAGCAGCCGCGGUAAUACGGAGGGUGCAAACGUUGCNNGGAAUCAUUGGGCGUAAAGCGCACGUAGGCGGCUCGUUAAGUCGGGUGUGNNNGCCCUGGGCUCAACCCAGGAAGUGCACUCGAAACUGGCGCUUGAAUAUGGAANNNGGGUCGCGGAAUUCCCGGUGUAGAGGUGAAAUUCGUAGAUAUCGGGAGGAACACCAGUGGCGAAGGCGGCGACCUGGGCCAAUAUUGACGCUGAGGUGCGAAAGCGUGGGGACAACAGAUUAGAUACCCUAGUAGUCC
rnacentral:rRNA from 1 species